ACACUUUGGUUUCUCUUUAGAUUGAAUAAAUCUUUUGCCUUUUACUAAAUAUUUCCAUGGAGAGAAACACGUCUGAAUUCAAGUGUAAUUUUUUGAGGCCUCACCUUGGCUGGACU
rnacentral:snRNA from 1 species